UACAGAGAUGGCAAGCGUUGUUCGGAUUUAUUGGGUGUAAAGGGCAGGUAGGUGGCCGUGCAAGUCUGAUGUGAAAGCCUAGGGCUCAACCCUGGAAAUGCAUCAGAAACUACAUGGCUUGAGUGUCGGAGAGGUGAGGGGAAUUCCCGGUGUAAGGGUGAAAUCUGUAGAUAUCGGGAGGAACACCAGUGGCGAAGGCGCCUCACUGGCCGACAACUGACACUGAGCUGCGAAAGCUAGGGGAGCAAACAGG
rnacentral:misc_RNA from 1 species